rnacentral:lncRNA from 1 species
GCUUUCACGCCUUCCCUUUUUUCUUUUCUCUCUUCCUUCCUUCUUCCGUUCCUCUUCCUUCCCUCCCUCUUGACCUUCCUCUCUCCCUCCCUUCUUUCCUUCCUUCCUGUGGCUCUCCUUUGUGAGUGACCUACCUCCGCUUCCUACUCUGUGACUUUGCACAUUCAAUCAUUGCCUGGCUCCACCAGCAGUAUAUAAGGUGAAAGAGGAUCCUGCCAGCUGUUCUAGGCCCAGAGGACACCUCUCUCUCUCUCUCUGUCACUCACACACACACACACACACACACACACUCUCUCUCUCUCUCUCACACACACCCACUUAUUGAUGGGGUAAUAGGAUCAAGAGGUAGCUUUGCAUCAUCAAAAAGAAGUCAGUCAUUCUAGCCUGGAGCUUUAGAAGACGAAGUAAAAAAGAAGUCAGACAGUCCUAGCUUUGAAUCCUGGCCCAGCCACUUACUAGGUGGGAGACCUUGGGACAAUCGUAUCCCUUCUGGGGGAAUUUCCCCACCUCCAUGUUGAAGCCAAGGAUGACUAGUACUCCAUGGAAAAGAGGUCAACAUGAUAACCAGGAGAUGUGGUCAUGGGGCAUUAAAAGGUUCGAAGCUGUUCCAGAAAGGAUGUCAUUGAUGUGGAAUACAGG